ACAGUCGGGGUGAGAAGGGUGUCUCCCGGCUCUGGGGAAGUGGGACGGGCUCUUAAUGAAGUCGCUCAGACUGCGAUGACGUAGUCCUUCUGGGCCCCGCAGCUGUCCUGUUGAUACCGUAGUGUCGUCUAGACGCUUUUACCCAUCAGAGCACUGAUAUUUUUGUCCACGUCUCUCAUCCAAAGAAGGCUAGAUGUUUUGCUGGUCUUAACUCAGGUCUCUGUUUUGACAAAAUUGCACCUGUAUUACAAGCAACGAAGAUGAGAACGGUAACGCUUCAAAAGCUCGUAAUAGGAGGACUUGACCUGAUCAGGGAGGUCGGCAGAGGCAGUGAUGCUCGAGGGCUAGAAACCUGAUGAAAUGGCCCACAAGAGGAACAAGAAGAGAACUCGCAGAUUGACCAGCAGCGCUGUGACACUGAAAUUCAUCUCUUUGCCAUGUACCAGCUUCUCCUUCUGGUUAAUAUCUUUCAAGUUGGGUUUCUGUUACUCCUUUCCCACCUCAUACACCACUGAUUUCCUGAGCUGGGCCCAUGAUGAGUUUGUGUGCUAAGAAGAGCCAGCGUUCAGCACUGUGGAUUCACUGCUGGCACAGAAGUACCGCGCUGAGUCCCCUGCCUGAGUGGAGUUGAUUUCCAGGCUGCAGGGUGAGUUUUUGGGACAUUUAGCUGAAUAUCGCUGUUCAAAUCCUGCUAUCUUUUCCACAAUGUCUUCAUUCCGUAAGUAAACCAAAAACUCGAACGCUUCUUCCAGCUUCUUACGAUACCAGAAAACGAAAGUAUGUCCUUUUAUGGGGACACAGUGCAUCUUUGCUCUCUGUUCCUUUCCUCUGACCAGAUGUCCAGGACUCUGGGUGACCCCCGUGUCCACGGAGCCUGCGGGAGAAAGAGACAAAGUGGAGACAAAGCCCAGGAGGAGGCUGAUUCUGCAGCCACAGGAGAAAGUCCUGGAUCUGGAAUCUGAGAAGUUCACAGCAGGAACUCACCUGCUCCCCAGAGCAAAAGGGCCACACAGCAGAGGAGACUGAAGCACAUGGUUGGCUCAGGGGAAAAGCAGGGCAGGUGGCUGUUUGUCUAAGGCUCCUCAUCCCCCAUCAGCAACGUCCUUGUGACGUGGUCCCUUCCCAUGUCAUCACAGUCCCCGUGGAGAGGAAACUACACAUUUUAUAGGCUGGAGGGCAGGGAAAGCUGGUGAUGCAACUAGUGUGGCUUUCAAACUGCUUUUUAUUGCCUUUUUCCUGACUCUGCUUUUUCAUUAUUAAAAAUAAAUAAAUAAAACCAUUUACAUCAUUAAUUUAUUUGCUCUUAACUUGUCAAUUUCC